CGCAGCUCUCAUGCGUGGCUGGCCUUGCACCCGGGAGUCAGGACCCUGCGUGCAUUCUCCACCGCCGUGUCCCCGGCCACUCCUAGCCUUCAAAGAACGUCCAAAACUGAAAGAAUGUCGAAAAGAAAGGCACUGCCUCCUAGGACAGAGAAAAUGGCCGUUGACCAGGACUGGCCUAGCGUUUACCCUGCUGCAGUGCCAUUUAAACCCUCUGUGGUACCUCUUCCUAUUAGAAUGGGUUAUCCAAUGAAAAAGGGCAUGCCGUUGGCAAAGGAGGGAAAUCUAGAACUUUUAAAGAUUCCCAAUUUUCUGCAUUUGACUCCUGUAGCAAUUAAAAGGCACUGUGAAGCUCUUAAAGAAUUUUGCACUGAGUGGCCAGCUGCACUAGACAGUGAUGAGAAAUGUGAAAAGCAUUUUCCAAUCGAAAUUGACACUGCUGAUUACGUUUCAUCAGGACCGUCUAUUCGAAACCCCAAAGCACGAGUAGUAACCUUAAGGGUUAAACUUUCCAGUUUGAAUUUAGAUGACCACGCAAAGAAGAAACUUAUUAAACUUGUAGGAGAGCGAUACUGCAAGACCACAGAUGUGCUUACCAUCAAAACAGAUAGAUGCCCUUUAAGGAGACAGAAUUAUGAUUAUGCAAUGUAUCUACUAACAGUUUUAUACCACGAGUCUUGGAAAACCGAAGAAUGGGAAAAACAUAAGACUGAAGCAGACAUGGAAGAGUAUAUAUGGGAAAAUAGCUCCUCAGAAAAAAAUAUCCUGGAAACACUUCUCCAGAUUAAAGCUGCUGAGAAAACUACGGACAUAAAUGAGGAAGAACUCCUUGGUACUAAAGAAGUUGAAGAUUACAAAAAUUGUGUCGUUACUCUUAAGAACGAGGAGGAAAAUGAAAAUACCCUUUCUCAGUACAAAGAAUCAGUGAAGAGACUUAAAUUUGACAUGAAUUACAAAGUAGAAAAAUCUGCUUUAUUUAUUAAUUUGAUGAUAGAUGUAAUCAGUAUCUAAUUGGGUAUAAAAUUGAAAAUGUUAAAAAAUCAUCAUUGUCUUAUAUCAGAGUUAAAGUUACUUCAUUUCAUACUAAUGCUCACUGGCAAUAAUUAUUCCAAAGUUUUCUUAUUUGUACACUGGCACAAUUAGAGUAAUUAGAUCUCUGAUUUUUUUUUGUAAAGUGUUUUGAUUUUAUUUCUACACAAUAACUUUGUAUGCAUAUAUA